UCCAUUUAGGUUGGUGCAAAAGUAAUUGCAGUUUUUGCAAUUAAAAGUAAUGACAAAAACUGCAAUUACUUUUGCACCAACCUAAAUGGAUGAAAAUAUAUCAAUC
rnacentral:miRNA from 1 species